rnacentral:rRNA from 1 species
AACUAACGCUGGCGGCGUGCCUAACACAUGCAAGUCGUACGAGAAAGCCGGCUUCGGCUGGUGAGUAAAGUGGCGCACGGGUGAGUAACGCGUGGAUAAGUCUGCCCUUAAGUGUGGAAUAACGUACCGAAAGGUGCGCUAAUACCGCAUAAUAGCCCUGGCAACACAAGUUGUCCGGCCAAAGAAGGCCUCUGUUUACAAGCUUUCGCUUCAGGAUGAGUCCGCGUACCAUUAGCUUGUUGGUGGGGUAAUGGCCUACCAAGGCUGCGAUGGUUAGCUGGUCUGAGAGGAUGAUCAGCCACACUGGAACUGAGACACGGUCCAGACUCCUACGGGAGGCAGCAGUGAGGAAUAUUGCGCAAUGGGGGCAACCCUGACGCAGCAACGCCGCGUGAGUGAGGAAGGUUUUCGGACUGUAAAGCUCUGUCGAGCGGGAAGAAGUGUACCAUGGCUAAUAUCCAUGAUAUUUGACGGUACCGCUAGAGGAACG